GACGAACGCUGGCGGCGUGCCUAAUACAUGCAAGUAGAACGCUGAAGGAGGAGCUUGCUCUUCUGGAUGAGUUGCGAACGGGUGAGUAACGCGUAGGUAACCUGCCUGGUAGCGGGGGAUAACUAUUGGAAACGAUAGCUAAUACCGCAUAACAGUAGAUGUUGCAUGACAUUUGCUUAAAAGGUGCAAUUGCACCACUACCAGAUGGACCUGCGUUGUAUUAGCUAGUUGGUGGGGUAACGGCUCACCAAGGCGACGAUACAUAGCCGACCUGAGAGGGUGAUCGGCCACACUGGGACUGAGACACGGCCCAGACUCCUACGGGAGGCAGCAGUAGGGAAUCUUCGGCAAUGGACGGAAGUCUGACCGAGCAACGCCGCGUGAGUGAAGAAGGUUUUCGGAUCGUAAAGCUCUGCUGUAAGAGAAGAACGAGUGUGAUAGUGGAAAGUUCACACUGUGACGGUAUCUUACCAGAAAGGGACGGCUAACUACGUG
rnacentral:rRNA from 1 species